rnacentral:rRNA from 1 species
AGUGAACGCUGGCGGUAGGCCUAACACAUGCAAGUCGAACGGCAGCACAGUAAGAGCUUGCUCUUACGGGUGGCGAGUGGCGGACGGGUGAGGAAUACAUCGGAAUCUACUUUUUCGUGGGGGAUAACGUAGGGAAACUUACGCUAAUACCGCAUACGACCUACGGGUGAAAGCAGGGGAUCUCCGGACCUUGCGCGAUUGAAUGAGCCGAUGUCGGAUUAGCUAGUUGGCGGGGUAAAGGCCCACCAAGGCGACGAUCCGUAGCUGGUCUGAGAGGAUGAUCAGCCACACUGGAACUGAGACACGGUCCAGACUCCUACGGGAGGCAGCAGUGGGGAAUAUUGGACAAUGGGCGCAAGCCUGAACCAGCCAUACCGCGUGGGUGAAGAAGGCCUUCGGGUUGUAAAGCCCUUUUGUUGGGAAAGAAAAGCAGCAGGUUAAUACCCCGCUGUUCUGACGGUACCCAAAGAAUAAGCACCGGCUAACUUCGUG